rnacentral:rRNA from 1 species
AUUGAACGCUGGCGGCAGGCCUAACACAUGCAAGUCGAACGUGAAAGCUCCUUCGGGAGUGAGUAGAGUGGCGAACGGGUGAGUAACGCGUAGGAAUCUACCCAGAAGUGGGGGACAACCCGGAGAAAUCCGGGCUAAUACCGCAUACGCCCUACGGGGUAAAGUGGGGGACCUUUCGGGGCCUCAUGCUUUUGGAUGAGCCUGCGUCGGAUUAGCUUGUUGGUGAGGUAACGGCUCACCAAGGCGACGAUCCGUAGCUGGUCUGAGAGGAUGACCAGCCACACUGGGACUGAGACACGGCCCAGACUCCUACGGGAGGCAGCAGUGGGGAAUAUUGGACAAUGGGGGCAACCCUGAUCCAGCCAUGCCGCGUGUGUGAAGAAGGCCUUCGGGUUGUAAAGCACUUUCAGUAGGGAAGAAAAGCUCGAGGUUAAUACCCUCGGGUCUUGACGGUACCUACAGAAGAAGCACCGGCUAAUUCCGUG